rnacentral:rRNA from 1 species
UCGGGAACUCAAAGGAGACUGCCAGUGAUAAACUGGAGGAAGGUGGGGAUGACGUCAAGUCAUCAUGGCCCUUACGACCAGGGCUACACACGUGCUACAAUGGCGCAUACAAAGAGAAGCGACCUCGCGAGAGCAAGCGGA